AUUGAACGCUGGCGGCAGGCCUAACACAUGCAAGUCGAGCGAGCGGCGGACGUGUGAGUAAUGUAUGGGGAUCUGCCCGAUAGAGGGGGUUAACUACUGGAAACGGUGGCUAAUACCGCAUACUAUCGGAUGAACCCAUAGGGGAUUAGCUUGUGGGUGGGGUAAAGGCUCACCAAGGCGACGAGCUCUAGCUGGUCUGAGAGGAUGACCAGCCACACUGGGACUGAGAUACGGCCCAGACGCCUACGGGAGGCAGCAGUGGGGAAUAUUGCACAAUGGGCGAAAGCCUGAUGCAGCCAUGCCGCGUGUAUGAAGAAGGCCUUCGGGUUGUAAAGUUCUUUCGGUAGGGAGGCGUUAACAACAGAAGAAGCACCGGCUAACUCCGUGCCAGCAGCCGCGGUAAUAC
rnacentral:rRNA from 1 species